ensembl:lncRNA
GUUCACCUCGCCAGAAUUUUCCUUUGACAAGUGAUUCUGAGGCCGGCUGGGGAGAAGGGAAUUUUGGCAAAGACCAUUGUGAAUAAAAGUUUUAUCUUCUCUGCUUUCUUUCCUCAGCCUCCGUCAAUCAUGUUCUCAUUCAUUCGCCAAACUGCAAGCCUGUCUUCGAGUGAAUCACACUAUAACAGCCGUCGUUUUCCCUGCCAGUGCACGAGUGUGAGUCGAAGCGUACUGUUGUGACCUGGCGAGAGACAGAGUGGGAUAUUGAAAUCUGGAGACAGGUCAGGGAUUUCCCCUCCAUUCUUUUCGGGUCUUCAUUUAGAGGCAUCGUAAAUUUCGCUUACAAACAUUAUCAAGAACGGGACAGCACAUUAAUCUAGAACAGUGCUUCAUCCAUGGCCCACUUACGUGUGUACCGAGGUGCGUCCGCCCGUCAGCUGUAACACUGGCCACCGCAGGAGGCCCGUGAAAUGUGGCCAUGGUUCUCGGUGGCUUUAAUGCUGUUACGAGGAGGCAGAAACAGGGCCGCCCCCGGGGCCUCCAGGGCCCAGUAAGCCGGUGGCAGGUCCACUUCAUCACCUCUCCUCUGAAUGAACUCUGGCUGAACCUCUCCGCCACGGUUAUUUUCGCUGGCAUCUGCCGCUCCAUGGCCGCUGACAUGAGGGCGCUGGAACAGAUGUUCAUGAAAAGCCGAUUGUAUUCCUUCUGAUGGUCGGGUGGCUGAAGUGGAGGUAGGCAGUGGAACAGAUGAAAGAGAAGCUGAAGAAUAAGAGUGUGGAACUCGCUCUCGUUGCCCGCAGUGAGGCAGAGGCCAGAGAGAGAUGCAGAUGGGCGCAUCCUCAGGUAACAAGCAUCCUUCUCUCUUCAUGCAUAUUCCUGCAUCUUUCGGACAUCUCUUGUCACUCUAACUCUUGUUCAUUUAAUUGAUUCUUUUUUCCCGUCCAUCAUUUAUUUAUUUAUUAACUACAAUCAUCCUGACGCCGAGAGGCUUAGCGGUAUCUCGAAAGAGCAAGGAUGGAGAGAUGGAGGUGCUGGUGGUGGUUGGAGGGCCGUAAGACCCUGUAAAGAUUGUUUCUAACACGUUUUCUGCUGAGGAUUUGCAAACUCUAUCUCGGCUAAUCACAAUGGAACCUAUUAGCACUUGACAUUUUUAUCCGGCAGCCAAAGACUCUGCGUCUCUGGCGCGGAAGGCUAACGGCCAUGGACAGUGUUACGGGGGCUCUGGCACCUCUGGGCCCACCUGAAAUCCGAUACCUGAGCCCCCACGCCCAGACACCAUUGAUUUCUUGUCAGCCACAGAAGUUUUCAGCUUGUGUUGAGGGCCUGGGGUUGGUAAGGGAGAUGGGGAGAAAAGCAGAAAAAAAAACAUGUUAGAGGGGUGAGAGAAAUCUUAAUUAGAAGAGGUGGAGGGAGGGGGGAUUUACCGAACCUGCUUUCAGCUUUAGGUAUCCGGUCAAUGAAAUGAAGGAAUGUAGAAGGAGAGAGGGAUGAUGGAGCCGGGGAGCAGGAAAGAUUAGACAGUGACAGGACGAGGUGAUUGAUAGAGAGGUGUAGAGAGUUGUGUGUUUUCUCUUGUUUUGGGGUGGGGGUGUCAGCCGGAGGGGUGGGCUCUCCACGGAUUUGCACUGUUGAACUCAUUACCAAGCAUUACCCACUAAGAAAACACUCUGCUGUUCUAAUUGCCCAAUUUAGGACUGCAGGUGGUCGUA